UACGUAGGUGGCAAGCGUUAUCCGGAAUUAUUGGGCGUAAAGCGCGCGUAGGCGCUUUUUUAAGUCUGAUGUGAAAGCCCACGGCUCAACCGUGGAGGGUCAUUGGAAACUGGAAAACUUGAGUGCAGAAGAGGAAAGUGGAAUUCCAUGUGUAGCGGUGAAAUGCGCAGAGAUAUGGAGGAACACCAGUGGCGAAGGCGACUUUCUGGUCUGUAACUGACGCUGAUGUGCGAAAGCGUGGGGAUCAAACAGGAUUAGAUACC
rnacentral:rRNA from 1 species